GUGCCAGCAGCCGCGGUAAUACGAAGGGAGCUAGCGUUACUCGGAAUCAUUGGGCGUAAAGCGUGCGUAGGCGGCUUUAUAAGUCGGAAGUGAAAGCCUGGGGCUCAACCCCAGAAUUGCUUUCGAUACUGUAGAGCUAGAAUACCAGAGGGGAUGGCGGAAUUCCUAGUGUAGAGGUGAAAUUCGUAGAUAUUAGGAGGAACACCGGUGGCGAAGGCGGCCAUCUGGCUGGUUAUUGACGCUGUUGCACGAAAGCGUGGGGAGCAAACAGGAUUAGAAACCCUCGUAGUCC
rnacentral:rRNA from 1 species